UCGAGAGAAAGGGGCAGGGGAGAAACCCUUCAUCCAAAAAUCCUACAAAUUGACCAAAUUGAGAAGGUUCAGAGCUGAAUUCUAAAUGCAUGAGUUAGGAAUGUUCAUCCCCUAAGUGAAUUUCAUAUCAAGAUUUAAAGAAGGCGGCUCGAGUCAACCGGGACGCAAACAAGACAAGACAAAGUCGAACCGUAUGAAUGGGUCGUAAAUAUUCCUUUGGAGCAAAUCUUGGACCGAAGGAACGAACACACAUUGCGCCAUUUAAUUGCUUCCGCUCGUCAAGUUCUAAAGGGUGAUAGUGUCUUUUUGU
rnacentral:lncRNA from 1 species